GGGAACUAGUACUGGAGCAUCACGAGCCAACCUCCCACCCGUGUUUACCGUAACCGCGUUGCCUCGGCGGGCCCACUGGGGCCUGUCCCCGGUCGCCGGGGGGCAUCUGCCCCCGGGCCCGCGCCCGCCGAAGCGCCCUGGAACCCUGUCUGAAUAGUGAGUCUGAGUGAAUGAUUGAAUCAUUAAAACUUUCAACAACGGAUCUCUUGGUUCCGGCAUCGAUGAAGAACGCAGCGAAAUGCGAUAAUUAAUGUGAAUUGCAGAAUUCCGUGAAUCAUCGAGUUUUUGAACGCACAUUGCGCCCCCUGGCAUUCCGGGGGGCAUGCCUGUCCGAGCGUCAUUUCUGCCCUCCAGCCCGGCUGGGUGUUGGGCGCUGUCCCCCCGGGGACACGCCCCAAAGGCAGUGGCGGCGCCGCAUGGGUCCUCGAGCGUAUGGGGCUUUGUCACCCGCUCUGAGAGACUCGUCGGCGCUGGUCUUCCCCCAGGCGGCCCGUCUCGGGCUCGUCUUCUUCCGGUUGACCUCGGAUCAGGUAGGGCUACCCGCUGAACUUAAGCUAUAAAAGNACGGGAGAAAAAA
rnacentral:misc_RNA from 1 species